AUUAUGGGAAAAAGUAACAGCAGAAUUAUAUGAGAUACCUGGUGCACAAAAAGAGUGGAAACAAUGGCGAAAGACUUGGCAAGACAUGCGAAGUUCCAUUAAAGC